rnacentral:rRNA from 1 species
UACGGGGGGGGGCAAGCGUUGUUCGGAAUUACUGGGCGUAAGGGCUCGUAGGCGGCCAACUAAGUCAGACGUGAAAUCCCUCGGCUUAACCGGGGAACUGCAUCUGAUACUGGAUGGCUUGAGUUCGGGAGAGGGAUGCGGAAUUCCAGGUGUAGCGGUGAAAUGCGUUAGAUAUCUGGAGGAAUACCGGUGGCGAAGGCGGCAUCCUGGACCGACAUUGACGCUGAGGAGCGAAAGCUAGGGGAGCAAACGGG